AAAGCAACGCUGAGUAAUCUUCCAAAUAUUUGCAGCAAAUAUUAUCCAUUCAACACUUGAGAAAAGUCUGCAUAGCUAAUUUUAUAUCUUCAGUAAAAAUCCGAAAACGCAAUUUGAGUCUGGGAAAUGGUACGGUCACAUGAGACAAAAAACCCCCCUUCCAUCUACUCUGACUAGUUUCAUUAUUAUUUACUAGCCUGACCAGUUUCAUUAUGAAGUUACCUUCGCUAUUGCAUCCAUUACCCUUGAUGAGCUAGCUACAUGGAAGCACUUGUUGCAGAAUAGUAACCUCACAGUGGUUGUAAGACAUGCAGUGGAUCCAUGCCAUCUAAUGCUACAGAAAACAUAGGUCAAAUGGACUCUGUAGACCUCCCUCAACAGCCAAGCCAAAGCCUAUGCAGCUGAGAGGAGACCAUUCCCAGGUGACCAAGGAGGAGAAGAACUGAUGGAGACCACAGAGGGUAUGCUGCAGCACCUUAAGACAUUUUGUUAGUGCUUUCUCCCAUAAAAAGCAACCUCAAUAGCAUCCAGAGACUUCUUGCCUUCACUGUUAUGAGGCCACCAACUGAAGAAUGAUAAUAGCAUUCCUGUGGUCUGUAAUUCCACCCUCCACCCACCGGAACUCUAGAUAAACCCUGCUAAGGUUCAAGCAC